rnacentral:misc_RNA from 1 species
AAGUCGUAACAAGGUAACCGUAGGUGAACCUGCGGUUGGAUCAUUAACAAAUUCAACUUGAGCUGCAAGACUUUUUGCCUUGCAGCACUUGAACAAUUUUGUGAACUGUUUAUAAAUUUUUGGGCCGGUUUGCUUUUGUUUACGCGUUUUUGCGCGUCGACUUUAGCGCGAAGGUGAAGGAUGCAAGUCCAACACGCCUGCCCAGCUUAAAAUUAGACCUCAGUAGAAAAACUUGUCUUUAACUAUAAAAAUUGAUUUUUUUGAUUACAAAGAAAAAAACAACUUUUGACAACGGAUCUCUAGGCUCUC